rnacentral:rRNA from 1 species
UACGUAGGGGGCAAGCGUUGUCCGGAAUCAUUGGGCGUAAAGAGCGUGUAGGCGGCCAGAUAAGUCCGUUGUGAAAACUCGAGGCUCAACCUCGAGACGUCGGCGGAAACCCUCUGGCUAGAGUCCGGAAGAGGAGAGUGGAAUUCCUGGUGUAGCGGUGAAAUGCGCAGAUAUCAGGAAGAACACCCGUGGCGAAGGCGGCUCUCUGGGACGGUACUGACGCUGAGACGCGAAAGCGUGGGGAGCAAACAGG